UCUCCCCCUCAUUUUCGAUCUCUCUCUCCCUCUCUCCUUCUCACUUUCUUUUCUCUCUCUACCACCAUUGAUGGUCGUUACCAAGCUCCAAGAAUCAUUCUCAUACUUAGAUCUAUCCUAAAUCAAGUUCUAAACAUCCAUUUCCUUUUAAUCAAGCCAAGAUUUGAAGAGUUUCUCAAGGUUGAAGUCAAAGAAAGAUUUUUAUUAUUUCCAAAUCCUUGAAUACGAGCAGAGGAUUGAAGUAAGAUCGCCCAAAUACUACGAGAGUAAGCUAAGUUUAUCAGAGGUGACUGUGAGCCAUCUAUCGAGUCGGCCGGUCACGGUACUUGAGAGGGAGGCCUACUUCUCAGUACCUUUGAUGAUGAGUAGUGGAUGUGGUACAUACAUAAUGAAUGUUUAAACUGCGCAGUUACUUUAUUAUGAUGUUAUGAUUUGCGAAAUUGCAUGCACAGGUUCUUCUCUAACUAAAACCCAUGUGUGUUGCUUAAUGUGGCAAGUUCAAUUUAUAGCUCUAAGAGCAAGCUUUCUUUUGUUUUUCGGCAUAUGUACAUGAAGGAAUAUUAAAUUGAAUUAACGUUUCGUUUGCCCGAUGAUCGUUUCUUGGAUUAUUAUUAAUUCAUCAUACAACGAUUAAUCCUAACAUGCUCCUAUGAAUUAACAGCUGCACACAGGUGUUAGGAUUUACUUAAUUGUGAAUCGGAUGCACAGAUGAUUGAUGAUCGUAUCGAACAACUCCAGUUCUGAUCUUCUAGACUGUAUCCCGCUCUAGUCUCACCGUUGGAUGGACAACGAACUGUGAGAAAACCCAAGCCAGAAAGUUUCCCACGUUUUCUGCGCCUCUCUCAGUUCUCAAACCCUAAAUAAUUAUCAGUGUAUGUUUUCUGAGAGCUGACAGUUGUAUUUAAUAAUACAGAAAAAGGGAGGAGGCGCCAGUUUUAGGGUAGGGCACCAUUUCUCGCUCUUUCUGGGCUAGGAGACUUUGGGCCAGUCCAGGGACCAAAUACAAGGAAUAAAGAUGGGCCUCAAAUAAAUUAAUUUAUCUAUGGUUAGCCCAGACCAUAAUUAAUUUAUAAAUAUUAGUUCAUUCCACUAGAGAACCAAUAUUGACUUACCCCUUUAUUACCGGUGAUGAGUCGGGGCUUGUAUUUAGACUUAUUAAAUCCUCGUAUUUAAAAUAUCUGACAUCCAUUAAUUAAUUAGAGCUCUGACAGCCUAAAUUAAUUAAUCUCUUUGUAAUCCUUAAGCAGUACCACUCAAACCUUAUUAUUGCGCCUGAACUUAAUCAACCUGCAGGGUUUAGCGCAAUAAAUAUUAUUGAGCUCCUUAAGGGGAUGUCAUUAUCCUAUACGGAUACGAGUACCAAUACAGAUAAUCAGAUAUCAUAUA